rnacentral:other from 1 species
GUAUUUCUGCGGUGUGCGAGACAGGAAAGAUUCUUCUCCGGUUCAUAUAAAUUGGGAGCUCGACCCGACGGAGUGGAAGUCAUGCCGUUUCAUACGGAAGGCAGAAGUUCUGUAGGAAGCACCCACUUGUACAUAAAAGGGUACAAGAAUCUUCCUAUAUACGGCACAGGUGGAUUUGUC